AGCGAACGCUGGCGGCAGGCUUAACACAUGCAAGUCGAGCGCCCCGCAAGGGGAGCGGCAGACGGGAGAGUAACACGUGGGAACAUACCUUUUGGUUCGGAACAACUGAGGGAAACUUCAGCUAAUACCGGAUAAGCCCUUACGGGGAAAGAUUUAUCGCCGAACGAUUGGCCCGCGUCUGAUUAGCUAGUUGGUGAGGUAACGGCUCACCAAGGCGACGAUCAGUAGCUGGUCUGAGAGGAUGAUCAGCCUCGCUGGGACUGAGACACGGCCUAGACUCCUACGGGAGGCAGCAGUGGGGAAUAUUGGACAAUGGGGGCAACCCUGAUCCAGCCAUGCCGGGGGAGUGAUGAAGGCCGUAGGGUUGUAAAGCUCUUUUGCCCGGGAAGAUAAUGACGGUACCGGGAGAAUAAGCCCCGGCUAACUUCGUG
rnacentral:rRNA from 1 species